AUACUUACCUGGCACAGAGGCUACCAUGAUCAAGAAGGUGGUUCCUCUAGGGAGAGGCUUUUUCCAUUGCACUUAGGAUCUGGCUGACCCCUGCGAAUACCCCUAAAGUGGGUAUCUCGGGCGUAUAAUUUUUGGUAGUCGGAACUGCGUUCGCGCUGCCCGGAA